rnacentral:ncRNA from 1 species
GUUGAAAAUAAGCAUAGAUCCGGAGAUUCCCAAAUAGGUCAACCUUUUAAACUGCCUGCUGAAUCCAUGAGCAGGCAAGAGACAACCUGGCGAACUGAAACAUCUUAGUAGCCAGAGGAAAAGAAAGCAAAAGCGAUUCCCGUAGUAGCGGCGAGCGAAAUCGGAGCAGCCUAAACCGUGAAAACGGGGUUGUGGGAGAGCAAUACAAGCGUUGUGCUGCUAGGCGAAGCGGUUGAGUGCCGCACCCUAGAUGGCUAAAGUCCAGUAGCCGAAAGCAUCACUAGCUUAUGCUCUGACCCGA